rnacentral:lncRNA from 7 species
CCCAUUCAGCUGACACACCUCAAGGAGAGCGAGGAGGAAAGGAAGUAAAAUUGCAAGCCAGGAUGGCCUUGGAACUGGGACAGCAGAGCGUGGGCUCCGCUCUUUGCUUGGACUAACUCUGCCUGCCCCACUUCCACCAGACCCCUCUGCACAACCCUUUGCAACGAGAGCAGAUGCUGCUUGGGUUCCAGGCUCUGUGCAUCCUCUGGGAUGGAUCUCAUCGCUGCCCUUUCCGCUGGGGGCCGUACAGGGGACACAGAAACGCUGCUGCCAAGGGGUGCAGAGAAGGAUGCGACAGCAUCACCAGCCUUGGAAGAAGUGACAGCAACAAGGGAGAUGGAAAGUCUGAAGGUGGCCAACUCUGAUGGAGCAGUGAUGGAAGCGUCAGAAAACCCAGAGGCAGAAGGAAUUGCUGAAAUGAUCCGAGCAGCAGAACGAAUAGCAAAAUGCGAAGUGGCCAAAGUGCUGCAGUCAGCAAUAGCUGAGCUCAAAGAGAUGAGGAGGAGCACGUUGUUAAAGCCAAGGAACAACACCCAACAGGAGGAGGAGGACUGGGAGAAGAAGUGAGAGGUGAUGUGAAGUGAAGGUUGGUUCGUACCCAAAGUGGAGCGUUCCCAUUACGCCCCCUUUGUAAGUGCCCACGCUAUUAGAAAUAAAGAUAUGCCACAUU